GAGCACAAGGACAAAAAGAGUUGUGAAGGUUCUGAAUCUUGAGGAUUAUUCCUUUCAAAUCUGUGAUAACCUGUGAUUCUUCUCCCCAUCUCCUUGCUAAUCUUUCCCCACCUCUUCUACCAUCUUUCAUUCCAUUCUGACUACUGGAAAUUUACCAAGGAAGUUGCCUGAAAUUAGGUACUUUUUUUUUUUUCCAGAAAUACAACUCACUCAAUAAAUACAUAUGGGUGCACUGUAUUUUGGAGAAAGAAUAUGUUUGCAAAGCUUUUUAAAUUAAAUCUUCAUAAGAAUGUGGGAGUAAAUGCCAAAGGAAUUCGUGAGUACCUAGUUUAAUGAUAAUCCAAAACAAACUUUAAGAAAACAAUGGAGAAAAAGACUUGUGGCUUCAAGGAUAAGAAUCAACCUUUGGAUUGGCCCCUGCCAGUUGUGUUGAACCUUCUGAAAUAGACACAUGGAGACUUGGAAAGGUCUGUUUUUAAUAAAUGUGCGGAAUAUCAUAUAAGUUAACUUUAACAUGCCACCUGCAGCUUUGAAAUGCAGUGUAUUUUGAAGAUCAAAUACUUGCAUUCCAGACACUAGAGCUCUGAAAUGGAAUAGGGUAUGAUUUCUGCCUUCAGGGAGUCCUUGGUCCUGUGGAGAAUCUAGUCACACAAACAAGCAUUAAAGAUAAGAUCUAAAAGCAACAAAGAUGAAUAUGGUAAACUGCCGUUGAAACACUGAUGAAAAAGCAAUUUAUCCUGGAAGGGAGAUUGGUAGAGUCCAGUCUUGGAGAGAAGGUAACAGCUGAGCAGGGUCUUGAAGCAUGUGGUGGAUGGGGGGAGGAGAGGUCGAGGAAGGUGUUUCAGGCGGAGGGGCAGUGUGGACGGAGGCGUGGUGGUGUGAAGGCGGAUGGGACUUCUGCACAGUGGCGAGGGGAGGAUGGCUGGAGCAAGAGGUCUUCUGUGCAAAGGACAUCCGAGUGCAAGUUAUACAGUUUGGACUUUGUUCUGGAGAUAGGAAUCUUCAGAGAAAAUGGCAUAAUCAGAUCCAGGAGCCAUCUGGGAUUUUACAUACCUCAGCUCGUGAAGAAAUAAUGCCUACCCCAGUGCAUGGGAGCGGUGCGGCACAAGGACGCCCCUCUGUGACUUCUUGGUGACCAUCUGCAGAGACAGUUUGCACCAGAGUAUACUUCCGCACCCUGCUUUCUUUAUUGAGAAGCUUUUGCCUGGAAAACAAAUGUCAACUGCACUCAGAAGAGCGUGCUUAGUGAGGUAAUUGAUUUCCUUUCUGGAACAAGCCCCUUAUCACAGAUUCAUUACAAUAGCCCGGGGAAUGGCUGGGGUCCUCGGACCACACUUGGAGCAGUGCAGGACCCAGAGAAGAGGCAUGACUGCAGUGAACUCGUGGGGUCGCCGUUAGCCACCGAACGGUGCUGAGCCUCUUUGGAACUAGAAUCAGUUCCAUUGUACCCCUUGCCCCGGCCUUACUGGUGGCAUCGUUAUCCACUGCAGAAAUCGAAGUGUCUAAGGAUGCUCGGUAUUUCCCACAUAAGACGAGGGGAAUGGUUCUGAAAAACAGGCAGAAUCCUGACUUCAAUCCUGGCACUUUCCGGAGCUCCGGUAUGGAAAUCAAUCAAUCAAUCAGGCUGUAUGUUAGAAGUGUGAGAGCUUUGGUAAUUAGGAUGGGCUGUGGCAGGAGUCCCAUAAUGAGGUUAAUAGCCCUGGCCUGAAACCCAGAGCACAUCAGAUUGAAGGCUAUAAGGCUUACCUUAAGGGCUGUUGUGAAUGCUGUCCAGGGCUUAGCACAGCCUGGCAGUGGGGUUCAGUAGAUGGCUCCUCUGUUAUUAGGAUCCACUUUACAAGGAAGCAGAUCCACAUGUGAAGGCACUGGAUGUUACCUGGUGGGGCAUCUAGUCACCGUACAUGAAAUGCCAUCUUAAAUUACGAUUUCUUCCCAUCUUAAAGCCUUUACAAUCUCCCAAAUGCCUCUCCUAAAAUGCAAAUACUCCAGAUAUCUUCUUAUCUUUGGCUGGUAUACAGAGAGGUCAGUUUCACUUUUUACCGUGUUAUUUGCAAGUUUUCAAAGUAACCACUUCCUUCAUAAUUAUAACAGAAGUAUCUAAAUUUCUGAAAAGGACACAUCUGAGCUCAGCUCAUUAGAAUUAGCUUAUGUCACAGUGUUUCCCAAAUUAUGUUUCACUUUAUCACAGUGUCUGUGACAUAUGCUGUGUUUAAAAAAAGAAAAGAAAUCAUAGCAAAUAAGGUUGGGAUACACAUACUCCAAGAUUUGUGAGUCACAUUGACAUAUUAAGGACCUGAACAAGCUUACAGAAAGAAACCUUUAUCAUCAAAUUUCCCAAACGAGUUUGAUUAGAGAGCACUUUUGUUAGGCAUCACCUAGUCAUAGUGUGCUUUAAGAUCACCCACUGCCUUAAGAGAUUAUUUUCCAAACUCAAUGGUUAACUGAGAAAUUCAGACUCUGUUGGUACAGCGCACAGAUUAGGCAUUUGGAAGGAGGGGAAUGUGAAGAGAGGAUCUUCAAAUGGGAGGCACGGGGAUGAUAGUGAACUCUCUCCUGCCUGGAAAGAGCAGAUAAGAGAGACUCAUGACCUUCUGCCCAUUUCCAGUUUAUUCAUAUACUAGCCACUGACCCGUUGUUUGCCACUACAUCACCUAACCUUGCUAGACCUCAGUUUUUCCCUCUAUCAAAUGGGGAGGGGGCAAUGCAAGACACGGUCUCAUCCAGAUCAGCUAUCCUAGUCUUCAGUUCAAUUUUGUUUUGGAAAAGAAUGCAUGCAUGAUCAUUUUUACAUUGAUAGAAGUAGUGGUGUUAUAAAUUUGUUUUACCUGUUUAGAGGUUUUCAUUUUCUUUCAAGGAUUCUAGCCUGUUCCAAAGGUCCAUCAAAAUGCUUGAUAUAAAGCAUUUCAGGAAUCUUUUUAGUUUAAAG
rnacentral:lncRNA from 1 species